rnacentral:rRNA from 1 species
AUUGAACGCUGGCGGCGUGCCUAAUACAUGCAAGUAGGACGCAGUUGCGAACGGGUGAGUAACGCGUAGGUAACUGCCUCUUAGAGGGGGAUAACUAAUGGAAACGAUAGCUAAUAAAGCAUACAAGUAGAUGGACCUGCGUUGUAUUAGGUAGUAGGUAGGGAAAUGGACUACCUAGGCGACGAGACAUAGCCGACCUGAGAGGGUGAUCGGCCACACUGGGACUUAGACACGGCCCAGACUCCUUCUGUAGGCAGCAGUAGGGAAUCUUCGGCAAUGGGGGGAACCCUGACCGAGCAACGCCGCGUGAGUGAAGAAGGUUUUCGGAUCGUAAAGCUCUGUUGUUAAGGAAGCGGUACUUAACCAGAAAGGGACGGCUAACUACGUGCCAGCCGCCGCGGUAAUAC